AGAGUUUGAUCCUGGCUCAGAGUGAACGCUGGCGGCGUGCUUAACACAUGCAAGUCGAACGGAACCUUCGGGUUUAGUGGCGCACGGGUGAGUAAUGUAUAGCUAACAUGCCCUUUAGAGGGGGAUAACAGUUGGAAACGACUGCUAAUACCCCAUACUCCUUCUUACUUAAUGUAAGUUGGGAAAGUUUUUUCGCUAAAGGAUUGGGCUAUAUGGUAUCAGCUUGUUGGUGAGGUAAUGGCUCACCAAGGCUAUGACGCCUAACUGGUCUGAGAGGAUGAUCAGUCACACUGGAACUGAGACACGGUCCAGACUCCUACGGGAGGCAGCAGUGGGGAAUAUUACACAAUGGAGGAAACUCUGAUGUAGCAACGCCGCGUGGAGGAUGACACAUUUCGGUGCGUAAACUCCUUUUAUUAGGGAAGAUAAUGACGGUACCUAAUGAAUAAGCACCGGCUAACUCCGUGCCAGCAGCCGCGGUAAUACGGAGGGUGCAAGCGUUACUCGGAAUCACUGGGCGUAAAGCGCAUGUAGGCGGUCUUGUAAGUUGGGUGUGAAAGCCUAUGGCUCAACCAUAGAACUGCACCCAAAACUACUAGACUAGAGUCUGGGAGAGGAAAAUGGAAUUAGUUGUGUAGGGGUAAAAUCCGUAGAGAUAACUAGGAAUACCAAAAGCGAAGGCAAUUUUCUGGAACAGUACUGACGCUCAGAUGCGAAAGCGUGGGUAGCAAACAGGAUUAGAUACCCUGGUAGUCCACGCCCUAAACGAUGAAUGUUAGUCGUCGGGAGGCUCGUCCUUUCGGUGAUGCAGUUAACACUUUAAGUGUACCGCCUGGGGAGUACGGUCGCAAGAUUAAAACUCAAAGGAAUAGACGGGGACCCGCACAAGCGGUGGAGCAUGUGGUUUAAUUCGACGAUACGCGAAAAACCUUACCUGGCCUUGACAUAGUAGGAACUUUCUAGAGAUAGAUUGGUGCUAGCUUGCUAGAACCUAUAUACAGGUGCUGCACGGCUGUCGUCAGCUCGUGUCGUGAGAUGUUGGGUUAAGUCCCGCAACGAGCGCAACCCACGUGAUUAGUUGCUAACAGUUCGGCUGAGAACUCUAAUCAGACUGCCUUCGUAAGGAGGAGGAAGGUGUGGACGACGUCAAGUCAUCAUGGCCCUUACGGCCAGGGCUACACACGUGCUACAAUGGGAUAUACAAAGAGCCGCAAUACCGCGAGGUGGAGCAAAUCUAGAAAAUAUCUCCCAGUUCGGAUUGUUCUCUGCAACUCGAGAACAUGAAGUUGGAAUCGCUAGUAAUCGUGGAUCAGCAUUGCCACGGUGAAUACGUUCCCGGGUCUUGUACUCACCGCCCGUCACACCAUGGGAGUUGAUUUCAUUCGAAGCGGGGAUGCUAAAGUAGCUACCUUCCACAAUGGGAUUAGCGACUGGGGUGAAGUCGUAACAAGGUAACC
rnacentral:rRNA from 1 species